UAAAGGGUUUUAACCUUAAUUUUCUAUAUAAAAAUAAUUUAUAUGCAAAUUUUAAUGAGAUUAAAUAUUAUUUAGAUAAUUAUUUUUUUUUUUAAUUGCAGUAAAAAAUAUUAUUAAUUUAAGGAAUUAAGAAAUAGUAUAAUUUUUAGUACAAACAAAAUUUGUGCCAGCAGUUGCGGUUAUACAAAUUAUGUAAUAGAAAAUUUUUAAAUUUUAGAUAAUUAUAUUUUUAAUAUAAAAUAUUAUUUAUUAGGUGAAAUUUUAAAUAUUAUUUAUAUAUAUAUAUAUAUUAAUGAUUUUAAGAAAAUUUUUUUUUUAAACUAGGAUUAGAUACCCUAUUAUUAAAAUUGUAAGUAGAUUAAUUAAAUUAGUAGUAGUUAUGUUCUUGAAAAUUAAAAAAGUUGGCGGUAUUUUAGUCUAUUCAGAGGAACCUGUUCUAUAAUUGAUAGUCCACGAUUAUAAUUUACCUAUUUUUAGUUUUCAUAUCGUUGUAGUUUGAAUAUUUUUAAAAAAAUUUAAUGUUCAAUAUUUUUAUUUAAUAGAAUUCAGAUCAAGAUGUAGCUUAUAUAUAGGAAGAAAUGGGUUACAUUAAUUUUAAUUUUGGAUAAAGUUUUAAAAAGAUUUUGAAAUUGGAUUUGAUAGUAAUUUUAAUUUAUUUUAUUAAAAUGAUUAUAGCUCUAAAAUAUGUACAUAUUGCCCGUCGCUUUCUUUAUAAAAAGAAAUAAGUCGUAACAAAGUAGAUGUACUGGAAAGUGUAUCUAGGUUCAA
rnacentral:ncRNA from 1 species